GAUUUGUAGGCAAAUGAGAUGUAGGCAAAAGGUGUUGUAGGCAAUCAAUUUAUAGGCAAAAGGAGCCCUCUCGAAUUUUUAUACGUGGCUACGUA